ACACUUUCAGUGGGGGAGGAAGGGGCAGAUAUUAAUACCAUCUGUCAUUGACGUUACCCACAGAAGAAGCACCGGCUAACUCUGUGC
rnacentral:rRNA from 1 species